rnacentral:rRNA from 1 species
UGGGGAAUAUUGGACAAUGGGCGCAAGCCUGAUCCAGCCAUGCCGCGUGAGUGAUGAAGGCCCUAGGGUUGUAAAGCUCUUUCACCGGUGAAGAUAAUGACGGUAACCGGAGAAGAAGCCCCGGCUAACUUCGUGCCAGCAGCCGCGGUAAUACGAAGGGGGCGAGCGUUGUUCGGAUUUACUGGGCGUAAAGCGCACGUAGGCGGACUUUUAAGUCAGGGGUGAAAUCCCGGGGCUCAACCCCGGAACUGCCUUUGAUACUGGAAGUCUUGAGUAUGGUAGAGGUGAGUGGAAUUCCGAGUGUAGAGGUGAAAUUCGUAGAUAUUCGGAGGAACACCAGUGGCGAAGGCGGCUCACUGGACCAUUACUGACGCUGAGGUGCGAAAGCGUGGGGAGCAAACAGG